rnacentral:lncRNA from 10 species
CGAGACGGAGGGGCGGUGCCGAGGGGAGAGGCAGCGCAGAGGGAAGGAGCGGGGCGAGGAGAAGGGGCGGGGCGAGUACUGCUCCAAGAUAUGGCAACCGUGACAGCUUUGCGAGUAGCUCCAGGUCCCCUGCUGCUCCGUGAGAAAUCAAACUUCUGGCAAUGACGAAGCAUGAAGCCAGCAUCUCAGGGAGAGGGAAAUUAAUGUUAUGACUGGAUAAGACAAUUGUGAAGAAACUGCACUUCGAGGUUGUCUGUCUCCGUAUUCCGAUGGAAAAGGCUGGACUUUAGAAGCAUUGCUCGCUCCUUCAGUUUCUAACAAGAGUUUUACAGUUUCUGAUUAAAUACCAAUGGGAUAUCACCUCCCAUCUCUUAGGAUGGCUGUUAUAAAAAGGACAAGAGAUAACAAGUGUUGGUGAUGGUGUGGAGAGAAGGGAACCUUUGUACACUGCUGGUUAAAAUGUAAGUUAGUACAGCCAUUAUGGAAAACAGUAUGAAAGUUCCUGAGAAUCUAAAAAUAGAACUACCAUAUGGCUCAGCAAUCCCUCCUAUGAAUUAUAUAUCAACAGGAAAUGAAAUCAGCAUCUGAUAGAGAUAUCUUCACUCCCCUCUUCUCCGUGCCCCACCACAGCAUUGCUCCCAACAGCCAAGCCAUGGGAUGAAGUUACUGUGCAUUGAUGGAUGAGUGGAGAAAAGAAAAUGUGGGGGAGGUGUUUGUGCAUGUAUGUGUGUGUGUGUAUAAUAUAUAAUAAUAUAAUAUUUUUCAGCUUUUAAGAAGUUGAAGAUACUGCCAUUUGUGAUAACAUAAAUGAAUCUGGAGGAUAUUAAGCUAAGUAAAAUAACUUAGGGAGAGAGAAAAAUACUGCAUAAUUUCUGUUACAUAUGAAAUCUUUAAAAAGGUUUAAUACAUAGAGACAUGAUAGAGUGAUGAUUUGGGGGAUAAGAGACACAAGUCAACGUUUCAGUUAUAUAAAAUAAAUGAAUCUAGAGGACUAAAGUACAAUUUAAAGGUUAUAGUUACUAUUUUUAUAUUAUAUACUAGUGAUUUUUGAACAGGGUAAACUUUAGGUGCUUUGACACCAAAAGGAAACUACAUGAGUUCAUGUAUAUGUUAAAUUGUUUGACCGCAGUCAUCAUUGAUAUGUAUAUGUAUAUAUAUAUAAUUAUGGGCUCAUUAAAUUUAAAUGCUAUAAAUAGGUAACAAAGAAUAAAGUUAAUUGAAAAACUGCAUCAUUAGACUUGAUUUUGCCUACAUGAAAAACUGAAACUGCCUCCUAAAUAUUAAUAUUUGUACAUCGCAUAAAGUUUAUAUGUUGGAAAUAUGUUUAAAGAAAAGGAAUUAUAAAUUUUAAUAAACACAGAAUGACACAGUAAAUGCAAAACAGUAGAAAGAGAUGAAAAUCUGAUUAAUCAGAGUGGUUAAUGCUUAGAUAUAAUUAAUGAUGUGUUAGGAGCAAUUUCAAGCCACUUCCACAUAGAUUUAAUACCAAAGAGUUUAUGUGUACACAGAGAUUAAAUAAAAAAAUACAUUUACAAUGAUAUUAAUUGAUAUUAAAAUGAUUAUGAAAUCAACUGUCUGCUAUAGAAAAAAUAGAGCAUUAAGUAACUAGCAGUAAGUUUGAAACUUUGUUAGAAAGUUAAUCAAGUGAAAAAGUGAUCAGCAUUUUUGAGCACUAAAUAGAGGAUGGACAAAAUUUUCUUUUCUUUCUUUCUUUUUUUUUUUUUUUUGAGAUCGAGUCUGUCUCUGUCGCCCAGGCUGGAGUACAGCGGCGCAAUCUUGAUCUCGGCUCACUGCAAGCUCUGCCUCCCGGGUUCACGCCAUUCUCCUGCAUUAGCCUCCUGAGUACCUGGGACUGCAGGCGCCCACAGCCAUCCCUGGCUAAUUUUUUGUAUUUUUAGUGGAGACGGGGUUUCACCGUGUUAGUCAAGAUGGUCACGAUCUCCUGAGCUCAUGAUCCACCUGCCUCAGCCUCUUAAAGUGCUGGGAUUACAGGCGUGAGCCACCGCACCUGGCCUAUAAUUUUCCAAUACCAAGAAAAUCAUUUGAUAUUGCAAGAUUUUAAACCUAAAUUAGUGUCUUUAACUUCACAAAGGUAGAAAUCCUAUAAGUAAUGUUUCUUGAACACUUUAAAAUGACAAUAAAAACUAAAGUGUAACCAACAAGUAACAUGUAGCCACAUGCAAAUUUCCUUUUAGAUUGUUUUAUUAUUUUUUUAACUUUAUGUGAAUUUUUAUUUUACUAGGUUUUUGGGGAACAGGUGGUGUUUGGUUAGAGGGAUAAGUUUUUAGUGGUGAUCUCUGAGAUGUUGGUGCAGUGUACACUGUACCCAAUGGGUAGCCUUUGAUCCCUAAGAUUGUUUUAAAUGACAUCUAGAUUAAAUAGAACAUUCAAACUGACAUUACUUUUACAGCACCAGAGAAAUGCUAAGGAGGAAGCUUUGUGACUGAAACCAAAAGACCUGAAUUUAUAUAUUUAAUUUUACUAAUUAACAUUCUUAAUUUUAUAGAAAAACAGCAAUUCUGCCCACAUGCAGGAGUUAUGCAUUAAAGUGGAGCAUGAUCACUUCAGACAUUUGUCCAAAACAUAAAAAUUCUUCCAAGUAUUAAGAAAAUAUUUAUACUUCACAGAUAUUGUUAGUGUAUAAUACAUGGGCAUUGAGAUGUUUCAAAUGAGAAAAAUUGAAAUUUCUCAUGGGGCAUUGUUCUACACAAAAUAUUUAUGUAAAAUUUUUUACUCAUAUAUGCAUGUGGACAUUUGAUGUUUUAGCACAGAAUAACAUAUUCUCAAAGGUCAUUUAAUGUAGUAAAUUAAAAAUCUUUAAAGUUUACAAGAAUUUUAAAACUGCCCAGCAGAACUGAUAGAAAAAUAUGGGAGCUUCCCAGGACCAGAAGUGAAUCAAGAGGCAAAUUCACAGGAGUCAUGAAAGUGAGAAGUUAGAGCUGCCUUCAGGUACAGCUCUGAUUGCAGGGCUGAUUACACAGACCUCAAGCCUGUGAAAAUCGUCCACUCUGCCCCUUGGAAUAUACAUACAGAGAAAAUUACUAACUGGGGCAUCCCAAAUGUGAGAUCUCUAUAAUGUAAGAACCAAAUUGCAAUUAUGAAGCACACAAAAGAAGCUACCCAAAAAAGGGAAAGAAAUUAUACAUCACGUAAACUUCACAGAUUGGAAACGUAUUUAAAAUAAGUAACACAAAUAGGGAAAGAGAAUAUCAAAAUAAUUUUGAAAACACAUGAAGUUCUAAAGCGGGCACUGGGGGCAGUGGCUCAUGCCUGUACUCCCAAGCACUUUGCGGUGGCCAAAGCAGGAGGAUCACUUGAGGCCAGGAGUUUGAGAUCAGCCUGGGCAACAAAGCAAAAGUUGUCUCUACAACAAAUAGAUAUAAAAAAAUAAGCCAGGCACAGUGGUGUGUGCUUGUACUGUCAGCUACUGGGGAGGUGGAGGUGAGAGGGUCUUUUGAGACUGGGAAUUUGAGGUUGCAGUGAGCUAUGACCACCACUGAACUCAAGCCUGGGUGACAGAGAUUCUUUCUCAAACACACACACACACACACACACACACACACACACACACACACACACACACUAAACAGGCAUGUUUUGCAAAGACUCAAACAGAAAUUGAACAACUGAAACUUAAAUAAAUUUAAUAUACAGUGUAUGGUUUAAUUAUUAAACCAAGUUAAUAACAACAGGAUUAGUGAACUAGAAUACUGAGAUGAGUAAAUAAAAGAACUACAGAAAAAUGAAAUGAUCACAAUACAAAAAUGAGUAUACAUGUACAAAGAAUAAAAUGAAAUGAAAUCAAAUACAUUGGUUUCACUAGCUUACAUAUAAAUAACAAAUCACAUUAAUAACAAAUAUUUAUAAAUUUCUGAAACUGAAUAUCAGAUGGGAACCCUUGAAUGCAGAAGUGUAUUGUGAUUAAUAGUGGCCUACCAAUAAAAAAUACUCAACAGAAAUAAAAGUCAAACUGCAUAACAGCAAAGAAAAGAAAAAAUUUUAAAGCCAUAAGAGAGAAAAGAAGAGAGAACCAAUGAAGGUGAGAGCAAAGUCUUCACAGCCCGUGUUCAGUCAGAAAACAGAGAAAUAAGUAAGAGUGCUGAGAUAAGUCACUGUUCAACCAAUAAUUAGAUACUUCACUAACAUAUUUUGAAUAAGUGAGGAUGCACUACAUGAUUUCCAAAAGUAAAAAAGUGGGAAAUCUUAUUACCAAUAUGAGCUUAUUAAGAAUACACUUCAAAAAGAAAAAAAAUUUAAAAUGGAGUUCAAGGAAUCAAAAUGAAAUGCAAGAAACUGCAAACAUAUUGGGCUAUCAAAUCAUGGUGGACAAUGAACAAAAGGAUCCAUCAAGUCUUUGGCAGCAUCAGUUUCCAAAUGAUUUACAUAAAAUAAAAGUGCUAAACUCUAUACAAUGUAAUGAAAUAAAUUAUCAAAUCCUCUGAUACUUGAAUAAUUUAACUGAUGUUAGAAUCUCCUUUUCAGAUAAUUAUUUUCAUGGAAAAAAAUAUACAAUACUUCUGUCUCAUCAUUUGCAGAAUAUCAAUUAUCCUUUUUUCAGAACUUAUUAGCACCAAAGGGCUCACAGUGGCAUAGGCCCUGGUCACAAGCCUCUGGACACCCAG